rnacentral:rRNA from 1 species
GGUUAAGCGACUAAGCGUACACGGUGGAUGCCCUGGCAGUCAGAGGCGAUGAAGGACGUGCUAAUCUGCGAUAAGCGCCGGUAAGGUGAUAUGAACCGUUAUAACCGGCGAUUUCCGAAUGGGGAAACCCAGUGUGAUUCGUCACACUAUCAUUAACUGAAUCCAUAGGUUAAUGAGGCGAACCGGGGGAACUGAAACAUCUAAGUACCCCGAGGAAAAGAAAUCAACCGAGAUUCCCCCAGUAGCGGCGAGCGAACGGGGAGGAGCCCAGAGCCUGAAUCAGCAUGUGUGUUAGUGGAAGCGUCUGGAAAGGCGCGCGAUACAGGGUGACAGCCCCGUACACAAAAGCGCAUGUGCUGUGAGCUCGAUGAGUAGGGCGGGACACGUGGUAUCCUGUCUGAAUAUGGGGGGACCAUCCUCCAAGGCUAAAUACUCCUGACUGACCGAUAGUGAACCAGUACCGUGAGGGAAAGGCGAAAAGAACCCCGGCGAGGGGAGUGAAAAAGAACCUGAAACCGUGUACGUACAAGCAGUGGGAGCACCCUUUGGGGUGUGACUGCGUACCUUUUGUAUAAUGGGUCAGCGACUUAUAUUCUGUAGCAAGGUUAACCGAAUAGGGGAGCCGUAGGGAAACCGAGUCUUAAC